UCCUGUGUUGCUUGCCUAAUGUGACGGAAUUUGGCCUCGGAUCAGUCCUAAUUUUUGCCUCUCACCAAUUUGUGGUGUUAGGUUGACAUGGACGUACUGCCCAUUCUCCUUGAAUGCUUCGCCCUCUCGCGUUGCAAUCAUGGGCCCAUGGGUUGAUACUAGUUCCCUCGGAUGCAGAACUUUCGAAGGGUGUACAACAUGUUGUUGUUGUUUACUCGCAAAGCGUUCAUUGCUCGAUGCGUACGACAGCUGUGCCUGUCUUGGUCCCCUCUGUAACUAGUUUAUGGAUGGGGCUCAUGCGGUGCCGGCGUCGCGAAGGAAUGCUACCUGGUUGAUCCUGCCAGUAGUCAUAUGCUUGUCUCAA
rnacentral:misc_RNA from 2 species